rnacentral:snoRNA from 1 species
AAGCCAUGAUGAGGACAUUGAGAGAUGUAGCUGUUGAACCUUUCUCAUGCUUCUUGCACUCAUUCCAUGUGGUGAUUGGAUCUCUUGAAAGGCUCUUCUCCCAUGUGUGAGCUU